rnacentral:rRNA from 1 species
CCUGGCUCAGGACGAACGCUGGCGGCGCGCCUAACACAUGCAAGUCGAACGAGCGAGAGAGAGCUUGCUUUCUUGAGCGAGUGGCGAACGGGUGAGUAACGCGUGAGGAACCUGCCUCAAAGAGGGGGACAACAGUUGGAAACGACUGCUAAUACCGCAUAAGCCCACAGCUCGGCAUCGAGCAGAGGGAAAAGGAGCAAUCCGCUUUGAGAUGGCCUCGCGUCCGAUUAGCUAGUUGGUGAGGUAACGGCCCACCAAGGCGACGAUCGGUAGCCGGACUGAGAGGUUGAACGGCCACAUUGGGACUGAGACACGGCCCAGACUCCUACGGGAGGCAGCAGUGGGGAAUAUUGCACAAUGGGGGAAACCCUGAUGCAGCGACNCCGCGUGGAGGAAAAAAGUCUUCGGAUUGUAAACUCCUGUUGUUGAGGAAGAUAAUGACGGUACUCAACAAGGAAGUGACGGCUAACUACGUGCCAGCAGCCGCGGUAAAACGUAGGUCACAAACGUUGUCCGGAAUUACUGGGUGUAAAGGGAGCGCAGGCGGGAGAACAAGUUGGAAGUGAAAUCCAUGGGCUCAACCCAUGAACUGCUUUCAAAACUGUUUUUCUUGAGUAGUGCAGAGGUAGGCGGAAUUCCCGGUGUAGCGGUGGAAUGCGUAGAUAUCGGGAGGAACACCAGUGGCGAAGGCGGCCUACUGGGCACCAACUGACGCUGAGGCUCGAAAGUGUGGGUAGCAAACAGGAUUAGAUACCCUGGUAGUCCACACCGUAAACGAUGAUUACUAGGUGUUGGAGGAUUGACCCCUUCAGUGCCGCAGUUAACACAAUAAGUAAUCCACCUGGGGAGUACGACCGCAAGGUUGAAACUCAAAGGAAUUGACGGGGGCCCGCACAAGCAGUGGAGUAUGUGGUUUAAUUCGACGCAACGCGAAGAACCUUACCAAGUCUUGACAUCCCUUGACGAACAUAGAAAUAUGUUUUCUCUUCGGAGCAAGGAGACAGGUGGUGCAUGGUUGUCGUCAGCUCGUGUCGUGAGAUGUUGGGUUAAGUCCCGCAACGAGCGCAACCCUUAUGGUCAGUUACUACGCAAGAGGACUCUGGCCAGACUGCCGUUGACAAAACGGAGGAAGGUGGGGAUGACGUCAAAUCAUCAUGCCCUUUAUGACUUGGGCUACACACGUACUACAAUGGCGUUAAACAAAGAGAAGCAAGACCGCGAGGUGGAGCAAAACUCAGAAACAACGUCCCAGUUCGGACUGCAGGCUGCAACUCGCCUGCACGAAGUCGGAAUUGCUAGUAAUCGUGGAUCAGCAUGCCACGGUGAAUACGUUCCCGGGCCUUGUACACACCGCCCG